UACGUAGGUGGCAAGCGUUGUCCGGAUUUACUGGGCGUAAAGGGCGUGCAGGCGGUUUGUUAAGUGCAGGGUGAAAGCUCCCGGCUCAACUGGGAGAGGUCCUUGCAUACUGGCGAACUCGAGGGAGGCAGAGGAAAGAGGAAUUCCCGGUGUAGUGGUGAUAUGCGUAGAUAUCGGGAGGAACACCUGUGGCGAAGGCGGCAUCCUGGACCAACACUGACACUGAGGAGCGAAAGCCAGGGGAGCAAACGGG
rnacentral:rRNA from 1 species